GAACUUGAGGUGAAGCUGAAUGCCACGACGUCUUCAGAGGAGGAAUAUCAGUUAAAGGUUUCCUGCUCCUAUGUGGCCAACAUCACUCGCACAUUGGCCUUCCUGACCAGGCCGCGUGACAACGAGCCUUUUGCCGAGACUGGGACGGGUCGACUAAUGGUCAGAAUGAGACUCGCUCAGGACGCCUCGUAUAACACGUUCCACCAGGAGGAGGACUAUCCAGUGGUGAGGUA